AUUACCUAGAGACGAAAAGACCAUCAGUUAAAAUGUAUACAUAAUCAUUAGUCUGAUUUAAAAAAAGUCAGAAAAUACCUUAAGUAUAUGACAGCAAAUCAUUCCCAUGUGUUCAUAUCUUCCACACUCACAAGUGUACUUUGUUUGAUCUUCAGAUAUAACAACCUCAUACCUAGUCUUGAACCAGGGAUCUCUCUGCUCAGGGUUACCGUGUAUGGCUGCAUAUUUCCUUCUUGGUUCUAUCUCUUCAACAUCAUAGUAACUAGCUACAUAAAGAACCCUUCCAAACAUCUCAAACAUUGUUCUGGUAUAUAUCUUGCUUGCGUGACGCUCAAUUGGGAGAUUAGAUUUUAUAACAGCCCCCCCUGCAGUUUAAAGUGAAAAGUGUCAGUUCAAGUUACAUACUAAAUAUGUAAGUAUAAUUCUAUCAAACAUACCAGCCUUGUCCUUUUGUCUUGAAAUCCUUCCUCCUGCUCUCUGUCAUAUUGUAGCUUGCCAUACUGCUUAACGAAAACGUUCAUUGGACAUGCUGGUGGCACAUAAUUUUUAAGCAUGUGGUUCGCACUCUCACUCCGUUGUGUUCUUGUCAUUUUUGCACAGAAUUUACCACUGAAAUAUGGUUUGGCCCAUUUCUCCCUAACCUCGUAAACUUGAGCUAGGAAUGUGUUACUCGCCAACCCGUACUUCACAGUUAAAUUGGACCACCCGUUUUCAAAUUCUUCUAUAGUCAGCAUUUCGUCACAAAGACGGUGAAACUCUGUCCUGAAGUCUGACUUGUUUGUAUAAUUGCUCCCUAGUGACUCCUUAGCUUUUUUAACACAUGCCACUUGCACCAUUGGUGAGUCGUCCCAGGGAAUACAUUCAUAAUCGCAACCUCCAUAGCCCUAGCUUGAUCUGUUAUAUCAAUAAGAUUCAUUUUAGAUCAUCAUUGAUUUUUUGUUAGUUAAAAAUUUGAAACAGAAUCAUUAGUGCUGCUGUAGUGUUACCUAUUAAAAUUGUAACUGGUUUCUUCCCUCCCAUCAUCUUUACAAAUUCGCUAAAAACCCAUUCAAAACUCUCUACUUUCUCAUCACGCAUCAAGACGCCGGCAUAAAGCACACUCUGGAAGUGAUUGUUUACUCCAACAAACAAUCCGAAAGGCAUAUCGUACAGGUUGGUCUUAUAUGUUGUAUCGAAUGUAACCACAUCGCCAAAAUGAUGGUACUGGAGCUUGCUACGUCCAUUAGUCCACAAAAUUUUUCUUAUCCUACUCUCGGUGUCUACUUGAACUGUAUACUGGAACUCACUGUCUCUUUCUUUCAAAUCUGAAAACAAAUCCAUAGUUUUCCUAACAUCGUCAUCCGCCUGUUCCUUGCUUAUUUUUCCACAUAGCAUCCUAAGGCACCUUUUAGUGAAAGGUACAUUCUCUAUUCUACCAAAAAACGUGCCAAUUAUACUGUAAACUUUGCUUAGAUUUAUGUUAUUCUCACGAAGCUGAGACACAAGCUCUCUAGUGUAUUUUUCAAUAUGACGAUGUGACGGGAAAUGCAACUUCGCUGCACAAUUUGCUAGCAUAGCGUGAUUGUGCACAUUCCUAUACUCACAGAUAAACCAUCCUUGAUCUUCUGUUCUUAGAAGGCGUAACAUGGCGGGGCAUUCAGAACGGCAGGAAGUGGUAUUAGUUUUCUUUGGUUUCCCCUAUUUAUAAAAUUCAAAGUUAGCUGCACUAUAACUCUUCGGUAAAUGAAUAUAAAUUAUUGUCAGAAAAAACUUACAGAACAACCACAGAGAAGUUCUUGCAUGCAUUUUGUGCCCCUAACGUUGGUUCUGCUUUUGCCGCAUCUGAUGCCAAAUCCUAGCUCCCAAGAAUAUAGGUUGUAGAAAUCAUAAGCUUCACCCAAAGAAUCGAAAACCAGACCAACCGAAGGUGAAACCACUGCAUCUGUUUUCCUGGUAGCAAACCCUCUCAAAGCCUGCUCCAGAGGUGCAACUCUAUCUGGUUUAGUCUUCCUUUCAUCUGGCAUGACCCCAUGCCUCGGUCUAAAUGAAAAAAAUAGUUUAAUAAAUUAAUUGUUUCACUUGGACAAUAACAACAUGCAGACUUAAUGUUAGUAUUUACAUUUAAACAUAAUAUGCAGUUUGAAAAAACAUCAGGAAAAUAAACAUGGCAUUCCGCUUCAAAACUGUAUACAACGUUUGAGAGCUGAAUAAACGUUGUCUACUUUCAAAAUUUUCCGUUUCUUUUGUCAUAAUUAUUACAAAUCGAACAGUCCUAUGCAUUGCUAUAGCCAAGAUUUUUCAGUAUAGUCUGCGGUGUAAUUUUUUUGAAAUCGAUCCUUGUUGUGCUAGAAUGACAUACCUUCUGAUCCACCCUCCUACAGAUCUAGUUGAAACAGAGUUGUCUUCUUCGGAAACAUCACGCACAAGAUCGAUCUGGGUCUCUUCGCUUGGAGAGUCAUCAAGCUCCUGGCUCUCUACGACUUCGUCAAGUGCUGGCAGCUGAAUCGGCCGUUCUGAACUGUUAACCAGUUCGCUACAAUACAGAAAUUGUACAGUCAGCAAGGACGACAUCGCGCGGUGGUGGUUGGUGGUGGAAGAACUCCGCCACCGUCUUCUCGCCGGAGAGUAGUGGUUCGUUUGUUUUGGGUAAGAACAGCAGCACCGUCUACUCAAAGGAGUUCGCUAUCCUCGUACAAAAACAGGACGCGAUGCAUUCACCACCCGUAUUGAUUAUCCCUGCCAACACAAUUUAUUUCGAUCGGCCGAAAGUGUUGUUCUUACCUGCACUGAAAUGUCAUCGUUCCUGCACCCAACAUCGUAUACAACUUGUAUUGGCCAGACUGUAGUUUUCCCCGCUUUUAAAAAAAAAUUCACUACACUAGCAACAGAUCUUAAAGCUAACAGCCGCCGUCCAGAUACAACGGGCGCGCGCCGCCCGGAGCCAAAAGUGCGCUUCCAUCAUAAGUUGCAAUAUAAUGUGACAUUCUUUUGCACCAAA